rnacentral:rRNA from 1 species
UGGGGGAUAUUGCACAAUGGGCGAAAGCCUGAUGCAGCGACGCCGCGUGGGGGAUGAAGGCUUUCGGGUUGUAAACCUCUUUCGCUAUCGAACAAGGCCCGCUUAGGGUGGGUUGAGGGUAGGUGGAGAAGCAGCGACGGCUAACUACGUGCCAGCAGCCGCGGUAAUACGUAGGGCGCGAGCGUUGUCCGGAAUUAUUGGGCGUAAAGGGCUUGUAGGCGGCUUGUUGCGCCUGCUGUGAAAACGCGGGGCUUAACUUCGCGCGUGAAGUGGGUACGGGCAGGCUUGAGUGUGGUAGGGGUGACUGGAAUUCCAGGUGUAGCGGUGGAAUGCGCAGAUAUCUGGAGGAACACCGAUGGCGAAGGCAGGUCACUGGGCCAUUACUGACGCUGAGGAGCGAAAGCAUGGGUAGCGAACAGG